ACUCAAAUGAAUUGACGGGGGCCCGCACAAGCGGUGGAGCAUGUGGUUUAAUUCGACGCAACGCGAAGAACCUUACCGGGGUUUGACAUGCACGGGACAGGUGUGGAAACACACCCUCCCUUCGGGGUCCGUGCACAGGUGCUGCAUGGCUGUCGUCAGCUCGUGUCGUGAGAUGUUGGGUUAAGUCCCGCAACGAGCGCAACCCUUGUCGCUAGUUGCCAGCGAGUAAUGUCGGGCACUCUAGCGAGACUGCCGGUGGUAAGCCGGAGGAAGGUGGGGAUGACGUCAAGUCCUCAUGGCCCUUACAUCCCGGGCUACACACGUGCUACAAUGGCCGGUACAAAGGGUUCCGAUAUCGCGAGAUGGAGGCAAUCCCAAAAAGCCGGUCUCAGUUCGGAUUGCAGUCUGCAACUCGACUGCAUGAAGGUGGAAUCGCUAGUAAUCGCAAAUCAGCAGGUUGCGGUGAAUACGUUCCCGGGCCUUGUACACACCGCCCGU
rnacentral:rRNA from 1 species